rnacentral:rRNA from 1 species
UUGAAUUUCGGGGUUAGUAGGUUGGUCAUGCCUCUGGUAUGUACUGGUCUCACUGNACUUCCUCCUUCCUGAUAAACCUUAAUGCCUAUUAAUUUGGUGUUUUGGGGUAGUUUGGACUGUUACUUUAGAAAAAUUAGAGUGUUUAAAGCAAGCUAACGCUUGAAUACAUUAGCAUGGAAUAAUGAAAUAGGACGUUCGAUCCUAUUUUGUUGGUUUCUAGGAUUGACGUAAUGAUUAAUAGGGAUAGUUGGGGGCAUUAGUAUUCAAUUGUCAGAGGUGAAAUUCUUGGAUUUAUUGAAGACUAACUACUGCGAAAGCAUUUGCCAAGGAUGUUUUCAUUAAUCAAGAACGAAAGUUAGGGGAUCGAAGACGAUCAGAUACCGUCGUAGUCUUAACCAUAAACUAUGCCGACUAGGGAUCGGAUGAUGUUAAUUUUUAAUGACUC